UUGGAGGGCAAGUCUGGUGCCAGCAGCCGCGGUAAUUCCAGCUCCAAUAGCGUAUAUUAAAGUUGUUGCAGUUAAAAAGCUCGUAGUUGAAUUUCGGGAUCAAUUUAUCGGUCGUGCCAAUGGUAUGAACUGGUACAAUUGGUUUCUCCCUUCUGACGAAGCAUGAUGUCAUUAAUUUGGUGUCGUGGGGAAUCAGGACUGUUACUUUGAAAAAAUUAGAGUGUUUAAAGCAAGCAUUAGCUUGAAUACAUUAGCAUGGGAUAAUGAAAUAGGACGUUUGAUCCUAUUUCGUUGGUUUCUAGGAUCGACGUAAUGAUUAAUAGGGAUAGUUGGGGGCAUUAGUAUUCAAUUGUCAGAGGUGAAAUUCUUGGAUUUAUUGAAGACUAACUACUGCGAAAGCAUUUGCCAAGGAUGUUUUCAUUAAUCAAGAACGAAAGUUAGGGGAUCGAAGACGAUCAGAUACCGUCGUAGUCUUAACCAUAAACUAUGCCGACUAGGGAUCGGAUGAUGUUAAUUUUUUAAUGACUCAUUCGGCGCCUUACGGGAAAC
rnacentral:rRNA from 1 species